ncrna:Lactobacillus casei ATCC 334 Fluoride riboswitch
AAAUUAAAUGGCGAUGGUGUUCGCCUAUACGCAAGUUGAUGACACCUACCUUGAG